AGCGAACGCUGGCGGCAGGCCUAACACAUGCAAGUCGAACGAACCUUUCGGGGUUAGUGGCGGACGGGUGAGUAACACGUGUGAACGUGCCUUUAGGUUCGGAAUAACUCAGGGAAACUUUUUCUAAUACCGAAUGUGCCCUUCGGGGGAAAGAUUAAUCGCCUUUAGAGCGGCCCGCGUCUGAUUAGCUAGUUGGUUGAGGUAAUGGCUCACCAAGGCGACGAUCAGUAGCUGGUCUGAGAGGAUGAUCAGCCACAUUGGGACUGAGACACGGCCCAAACUCCUACGGGAGGCAGCAGUGGGGAAUCUUGCGCAAUGGGCGAAAGCCUGACGCAGCCAUGCCGCGUGAAUGAUGAAGGUCUUAGGAUUGUAAAAUUCUUUCACCGGGGACGAUAAUGACGGUACCCGGAGAAGAAGCCCCGGCUAACUUCGUG
rnacentral:rRNA from 1 species